AUGACGUCAUUAUUGUUACAUUGAAAUAUACAACAUUAUUAAGAUAAUGUUGUAUAUUUGAAGUGGACUACCAUAAAAAAUAGGAUAACUCAAAAAGUACAAAAUCGAACCAAAAUCCUUGGGAAACUUGUAAGAAAGAUCUUAAUGGUACUGCAUCAGUUUUAUAGUAUAAAACUAUUAUAAUUAUGUUCCUUGACCUGAAAUUCAAUACAACAGAAGCCAGAACAAGAAUUUCAAUAUUACGGAUCAUUUAGCAUACAUUAUAAUGCUGCGGAAAAUGGAUAAAAUCUCUGUUCAUUUUCUAUUGCAGAGUCAUUUCCACUUUUCUCCCGAUCACAGCUUUGAAAUGAUUUUUCAAUAUUUUUAAAAUGAGUAAAAUAUAGAUUAAAUUGAUGACUUAAUUGAAUUAAUAAAUAAUACGUCUC
rnacentral:lncRNA from 1 species